rnacentral:rRNA from 1 species
AAAUCAUUUUCCUAUUCUCAGUAAGGGAGACUGAAAAGAAUACUCACUAAAGCUACAGAUAAAGUACCGCAAGGGAAAGCUGAAAAAGAUAUGAAAUAGCCCAGUAAAGCCCAUAAAAGCAGAGACACCCCCUCGUACCUUUUGCAUCAUGAUUUAGCCAGUAUUAUCAAGCAAAGCGUACUUUAGUUUGAUACCCCGAAACUGAGGGAGCUACUUCAAGACCGCCUAAAAAUAGGGCAAACCCUUCCCUGUGGCAAAAGGGUGGGAAGAUCUUCAAGUAGAGGUGAUAAACCUAACGAACUCAGUUAUAGCUGGUUGCCCGAGAAUUGAAUGUAAGUUCAGCCUCUCAGCUCCUUCCUUCCUUAAUCAAAAUACUUCAGGGACCAAGGAACUAAGAGAGUUAUUCAAAAGAGGUACAGCUCUUUUGAAAAAAGACACAACUUUAUUUAGAAGGUUAAAAAUUAAAAUAUUUAAAGGAAACCCCUCUGAGUAGGCCUAGAAGCAGCCACCUCCAUAGAUAGCGUUAAAGCUUAAAGAAACAACAACCUUAUAAUACUAAUAAGUAAAUUUGAUACCACUAAAAAUAUCGAGCCUCCCUAUACACCCACAUAUAGGAAAGACUAUGCUAAUAUGAGUAAUAAGAGAAUAAUAAUGCUUCUCUCCCAGCACAAGUGUAAAACGGAACGGACACCCCGCCGAAAAUUAAACAGACCCACCAUAUAGAGGGAAAUGAGAAAAGCUUAAAAACACAAGAAAUCCCCUCAUAGUAACUAAACUGUUAACCUCACACUAGAGUGCCCGCGGAAAGACUAAAAGGGAAGGAAGGAACUCGGCAAAUAAUCUCUUUUAAAGCUUCGCCUGUUUACCAAAAACAUCGCCUCUUGACAUCUAAAAAUAAGAGGUACUGCCUGCCCAGUGACCUAAAAGUUUAACGGCCGCGGUAUUCUGACCGUGCAAAGGUAGCGUAAUCACUUGUCCUUUAAAUGAAGACCUGUAUGAAUGGCGCCACGAAAGCUUAACUGUCUCCCUCCCCCUGUCAAUGAAAUUGAUCUCCCCGUGCAGAAGCGGGGAUAAAAACAUAAGACGAGAAGACCCUGUGGAGCUUUAGAUACUAAGUCCGGCCCAUAUACAUGCCAACAAAUAAAUUAAAUGCAUAAAACAUAUCGUAACCGAACUGAUAUCUUUGGUUGGGGCGACCAUGGGGAAAUAAAAAACCCCCAAGAGGAAAGAAGCACUACCCCUUUUACACCGCUUCCACAAAUAAAGGUUGACAGACCUAAUUCACAAAACCUUUGACCUAUAAUGAUCCGGCAAAGCCGAUCAACGAACCGAGUUACCCCAGGGAUAACAGCGCAAU